rnacentral:misc_RNA from 1 species
AACGCACAUUGCGCCCGCCAGUAUUCUGGCGGGCAUGCCUGUUCGAGCGUCAUUUACACCCUCAAGCCUAGCUUGGUGUUGGGCGUCUGUCCCGCCGUUCUCGCGCGCGGACUCGCCUCAAAGUCAUUGGCGGCGGUCGUGCCGGCCCCUCGCGCAGCACAUUUGCGCUUCUCGGAGGCCCGGCGGAUCCGCGCUCCAGCAAGACCUUUCACGACUUGACCUCGGAUCAGGUAGGAGUACCCGCUGAACUUAA